rnacentral:rRNA from 1 species
UAACACAUGCAAGUCGAGCGGGGACAUGCAACGGAGUGGUAAGGUUUCGGAUGGACAUGAAGAUGUAUGUUCUAGCGGCGGACGGGUGAGUAACGCGUGAGCAACCUGUCCCUCACAGGGGGAUAACACAGCGAAAGUUGUACUAAUACCGCAUAAGACCACAGUGAGACAUCUCGCAGGGGUCAAAAGGAGCAAUCCGGUGAGGGGUGGGCUCGCGUCCGAUUAGAUAGUUGGUGAGGUAACGGCCCACCAAGUCGACGAUCGGUAGCCGACCUGAGAGGGUGAUCGGCCACAUUGGGACUGAGACACGGCCCAAACUCCUACGGGAGGCAGCAGUGGGAAUAUUGGCAUGGGGGGAACCCUUGACCCAGCAACGCCGCGUGAGGGAAGAAGGUUUUCGGAUCGUAAACCUCUGUCCUAUGUGAAGAGUAAGAGACGGUAGCAUAGGAGGAAGCCCCGGCUAACUACGUGCCAGCAGCGGC